UUUUAAGCCCCGGACCGCGCGGCCUUUGCUUCCGUUUCAUUGGGAGGACCGGACCGCGCCCACGUCCAGCGCCGGGAGGGUGGUCUUAAAGGUGUAUGUUCUUCCGGUUCUGGUGCAUUUUAUGGCUCUUGUUUACGCUGGCGUUUUUGUGAAGAAAAGGGGGAUGAACAGAAUGCGGCCGGGCAGGUGUCCCUGUUUCCUUCGAGCGGCAGCUGGCAGGUUUUCUCACAGAACCUCUCGUGCAUUGGAUGUGCUGAAUUGGUUACCACUGAUGACUUCCCGUCUCUACCUCCCCUUUGCUACAAGGACGGAUGAGCCACCAUAUCUGGAUUUUUGCAUAGUUUAAGGAUUUGAACUUAGAUCUGUUAUGUGUUCAGCAAACGAUUUCCCCACUAAACAACUCUCUGGCUCACCAACAUCAUUACAGCUUGACAACAACACUUCUCUCAAGAGACACGGUUUGCCUCGGGAGUCCUAAAACUCGCCUUGUAAACCAGGCUGGCCUCAAACUCAGCUCUGCCUGCCUGCGCCUCCUUUGUGCUGAGAUGAAAUGCUCCGCCACUGCAGGUUUCCUUUCAUUAUUUCUGUGUGAAUACACUCACAUGAGGGCAGUGACCUCGGAGUCCAGAAGAGGGCGCUCCGCCCCUUGUGAGAUCCUGGAGAUCCACUCUCCUACCUGGAUAGCCAUCUCCCCAUCCCGGGUGGGCCUAAGUUCCAUUGCAUUUCACCCUAUUUUAUCACUCUGUGGCUUUUUUCCUUUGUCACAUGCACGUACAGGCAUUCGUGUAUGUGGGGGUCAGAGGUUGGCAUCAUGUCUUCCUUCAUCUAUAUUUUGUACUUUUUUGAGGAAGAGACGAGAGAUUUUUCCGAGGGUCACUGGCAGGCUAGUUUAGCCUCGUGGAAUUCCAAGUUCUCCGAGGGCAUGCAGAAGAUUUUUAUGCAAGAACUGGGAUUUGAACACAGAUUUUCCUGUUUUUAUGGCAAGUACUUGACCAACUAAGCUAUGACUCAAGCCUUAUUUUUUGUUUGAUUUUUUU